GUGGUAAUGCCGGAUGUUCCACAUGAUCGCAUGUGAUUGUGGGAAAGAUUCUAUCGGCGUGGGAUGGGGUCGCGUCCUAUCAGCUUGUUGGUGAGGUAACGGCUCACCAAGGCUUCGACGGGUAGCCGGCCUGAGAGGGCGACCGGCCACAUUGGGACUGAGAUACGGCCCAGACUCCUACGGGAGGCAGCAGUGGGGAAUAUUGCACAAUGGGCGCAAGCCUGAUGCAGCGACGCCGCGUGAGGGAUGGAGGCCUUCGGGUUGUAAACCUCUUUUGUUUGGGAGCAAGCCUUCGGGUGAGUGUACCUUUCGAAUAAGCGCCGGCUAACUACGUGCCAGCAGCCGCGGUAAUACGUAGGGCGCAAGCGUUAUCCGGAUUUAUUGGGCGUAAAGGGCUCGUAGGCGGCUCGUCGCGUCCGGUGUGAAAGUCCAUCGCUUAACGGUGGAUCUGCGCCGGGUACGGGCGGGCUGGAGUGCGGUAGGGGAGACUGGAAUUCCCGGUGUAACGGUGGAAUGUGUAGAUAUCG
rnacentral:rRNA from 1 species